CCUCUCCUCACACUCUUUCGGCCCCCAAGUUUCUCAGGCGUGGAGUGCGACGGGCGGAGGGAGAAACGGACGGCAGCAAGAGGGAAAAACGAGGAUUCACCAAACUGAGGAUAAAUUGUUCGAGGGCAAGUGAGGUCAAAGCGAGUAAUCGAAUUGAAGAAUAAGCAUACCAGGUUGAACGUCAAGAGGAUGGAGUGAUGAUCGGAGUCGAUGUUAUCAAGUUGAUCUCCCAACGAUUCGUGUCUUCACACACGAAGUCGUUUAGUAAGGACUUAUUCCGCUGCUCUUUUGUGAAGUGAGAAUUGUAGAACCUCACCAUCAACUCUGAUUUAGUUGAGGAGAUGUUUAUUCUGUUUUCCAGACCAUGUAAUGAAAUACUUGGCCUCUUGAUAUAAAAUGACUUGGCCUUUGU